UUUGGGAUUAAGGGUUGGGAGAGGAUAAAAGAGAUGAUGAAAUAUUUUCCUACUUAUUUCUUUCAGUAAUUGGGUGUAUUUGAUUUCUUCUUUUUUUCUUAGAUGCAUGUCAGCUCAUUCUUUCCCAUCAGAUAGUAACUGCUGGCAGAAGCAUUCAAAAUUAAUGGGCAAUCUGAAGUUGCUUUUGAUUUAUGUGUUUCUGGUCCUCCUUCUGUAGAGGCUGCAUGGCUCACCAGCAGCUCCCUGUAAUGUGCUGGGUUUCUGUCUCCUUCAGCCAUUCAGAAGGAACUGCAAAUCACUUUAAUUACUCUAAAUCACCAGGUACCUAUUCUCAUAGUUCAUUGUUUGUUUUUCUGCAGCUCUUCUGCUUCUUUCUUUUGGGGUACUUGAGCUCCAUUUCUGCUGUAAGCAACAUGUCUAAGUAGUAGUUGGACAGGUGGAGCAGCCCCACCAUUGUGUUUGAUUUCCUUGGAAGCCUUGUGUUACAGGACAAGAGCUGUCAGGUUGUACAAGCACUGGUGGUCAUAGGAGAGACAGCUUCAUCACCCACCCUUCCAGUCAUGUUCCUGUGGUAUGUUUGGGAGUGCUUCCUAGAUGAAGAAAGGCUGCUGCCCAAUGCCACAGGAGGAGCAAGAGGAAGCUCUAGCUCUGCUUGUAGGGUGUAAUCAGCAUGCCAAGGUCAGCUGGAACACACGGGUGCACUACAUCCUGGGAUGGAUAUCUUCUAACAUGG